ACAAGAACAAAAGCGCACUGCAGUUGGAGCAGCAAGUAAAGGAACUGCAGGAGAAGCUGAGCAAGGAGAUGGAGGAGGACAUCUAGACACUGAGGAGGAGGGGGUGCCUCGGCAUAUGCCGAGCAUCCCAGAGGACCUGGAGAGCCGGGAAGCCAUGAGUGGCUUUAUGGACCUCCCGAGGGAGAAGGUGGACGGAAGCAGCAGGUGGUGAAACUAGACCUUGAUUCAUCCAGCUCUCUGAGCGACAGAUGG